rnacentral:rRNA from 1 species
GUGGACGCCAGUCUGCGUGGAGCCGACCUUGAAAUACCACCCUUUAAUGUUUGAUGUUCUAACGUGGACCCGUUACCCGGGUUGCGGACAGUGUCUGGUGGGUAGUUUGACUGGGGCGGUCUCCUCCUAAAGAGUAACGGAGGAGCACGAAGGUUGGCUAAUCCUGGUCGGACAUCAGGAGGUUAGUGCAAUGGCAUAAGCCAGCUUGACUGCGAGCGUGACGGCGCGAGCAGGUGCGAAAGCAGGUCAUAGUGAUCCGGUGGUUCUGAAUGGAAGGGCCAUCGCUCAACGGAUAAAAGGUACUCCGGGGAUAACAGGCUGAUACCGCCCAAGAGUUCAUAUCGACGGCGGUGUUUGGCACCUCGAUGUCGGCUCAUCACAUCCUGGGGCUGAAGUAGGUCCCAAGGGUAUGGCUGUUCGCCAUUUAAAGUGGUACGCGAGCUGGGUUUAGAACGUCGUGAGACAGUUCGGUCCCUAUCUGCCGUGGGCGCUGGAGAACUGAGGGGGGCUGCUCCUAGUACGAGAGGACCGGAGUGGACGCAUCACUGGUGUUCGGGUUGUCAUGCCAAUGGCACUGCCCGGUAGCUAAAUGCGGAAGAGAUAAGUGCUGAAAGCAUCUAAGCACGAAACUUGCCCCGAGAUGAGUUCUCCCUGAGACUUUAGGUCUCCUGAAGGAACGUUGAAGACGACGACGUUGAUAGGCCGGGUGUGUAAGCGCAGCGAUGCGUUGAGCUAACCGGUACUAAUGAACCGUGAGGCUUAACCUUACAACGCCGAAG